rnacentral:rRNA from 1 species
GGUUAAAAAGCUCGUAGUUGGAUCUCAACAGUCUUGAAGCGGUCAACUUUGUAGUUGUACUGCUUUGUAGACUGUGCUUUUGCUGGAGGUUUAGGGGUGCUCUUAAUCGAGUGUCUCUGGAUGCCAGCAGGUUUACUUUGAAAAAAUUAGAGUGCUCAAAGCUGGCUAAAAUGCCUGAAUAUUCGUGCAUGGAAUAAUAGAAUAGGAUGUCGAUCCUAUUUUGUUGGUUUUCGGGACUUGACAUAAUGAUUAAUAGGGACAGUCGGGGGCAUUUGUAUUCAAACGACAGAGGUGAAAUUCUUGGACCGUUUGAAGACAAA